rnacentral:rRNA from 1 species
UACGGGGGGAGCAAGCGUUGUUCGGAUUUACUGGGCGUAAAGGGCGCGUAGGCGGUCAGCACAAGUCAGUUGUGAAAUCUCCGGGCUUAACUCGGAAAGGUCAACUGAUACUGUGCGACUAGAGUGCAGAAGGGGCAACUGGAAUUCUCGGUGUAGCGGUGAAAUGCGUAGAUAUCGAGAGGAACACCUGCGGCGAAGGCGAGUCCCUGGACAACACCUGACACUGAGGCACGAAAGCUAGGGGAGCAAACAGG